AUUGAACGCUGGCGGCAGGCUUAACACAUGCAAGUCGAGCGGAGAUGAGGUGCUUGCACCUUAUCUUAGCGGCGGACGGGUGCGUAAUGCAUCGGAACGUGCCCAGUCGUUGGGGAUAACUGCUCGAAAGAGCAGCUAAUACCGCAUACGACCUGAGGGUGAAAGCGGGGGACCGUAAGGCCCCGCGCGAUUGGAGCGGACGAUGUCAGAUUAGCUAGUUGGUGGGGUAAAGGCCUAACAAGGCAACGAUCGGUAGUUGGUCUGAGAGGACGACCAGCCACACUGGGACUGAGACACGGCCCAGACUCCUACGGGAGGCAGCAGUGGGGAAUUUUGGACAAUGGGCGCAAGCCUGAUCCAGCAAUGCCGCGUGCAGGAAGAAGGCCUUCGGGUUGUAAACUGCUUUUGUCAGGGAAGAAAUCUUCUGGGCUAAUACCCCGGGAGGAUGACGGUACCUGAAGAAUAAGCACCGGCUAACUACGUGCCAGCAGCCGCCGUAAUAC
rnacentral:rRNA from 1 species